rnacentral:sRNA from 1 species
UUUAAAUAAACAGCUCUUCACUUUCCUGGCUUCUGGUCUUGCUCCUUGGGUGUCUGGCUGGGGAGGGAUGGGGUCUGGACAAGACCCCUGGGACAGGGCACUGGACACUCAGGUGGCACCAGGUUUCUUGUGCUCCCAGCGCCCUGCCCACCCUUGGAGCCAGGCACACAGUGACAACUCGGAGUCCUCCUCUGGGGCUUAUGCCUCUCUGUCCACCGACUCCCACAACUACACCAUGCGGGAAUUUGCCCUGCGUUACUUCCGGAAGUCCCAGGCCUCGCUGGACCAGACAGAUGGAGGUGCCGCAGGGAAGGACACGGACAGCCUGGUGCAGUACACCAAGGUGGGAGAGAGGCAGGGAGGGGUCUGGCCCGUAGAUCUCCCCUCUGACCUCCGCGGGCCCCCAGACCCAUGGCCUCCUCUCUUUGGCCGCAGGCUCCCAUCCAGGAGUCGCUCCUCAGCCUCAGUGAUGAUGUGAGCAAGCUGGCAGUGGCCAGCUUCCUGGCCCUGAUGCGGUUUAUGGGUGACCAGUCCAAGCCCCGGGGCAAGGAUGAGAUGGA